CGCAGAGCGGUGGAACGCACGCUAUGCGUUCCACUCGCUCGCGACCGGCAGAACACUUCCGGUUUCGCCGGAACUGGCCGCAAAACAGCCGGCUGGAACGCAAAUGCGUUCCAGCCCCCAGCCCCAAGCGCAAAAAGGGGGCCCAAGGAGCAGGGAACCCUGGGGCAUGUCCCAGGAACAGAGCAACAUACCCCCAAGCCAGAGAACAGGGAAGGGGCAAGAAGGAGGCCACAAGAGGAAGGGAGAGAGCUUCAUCAUGGAUUCCCCAAGAACUGCCUCAAGGUAUGAGGGGGGGGUAUAUAACCCCAAUUAGUAGGGGCAGGUAGAAAACAGGGGAAUUUUUAAGGCUUAACCAACCCCACCAUAGACCAGAGAAUUUAGUGUCUCCCUCAAACACUUAUUUCCCACGGUGCAGUUCAGUACUUACACUGAACCUGACCCAGUUAGUCCUGCUCAUGCAGGCUGUUUACUGGGCCCUUCAGAUGAAGAGAGGCUGAACUUCAUUUGGAACGAACCCACGACAAACGCAGGAAGGUGAGCC